rnacentral:lncRNA from 1 species
GUAUUACCCCUUUCAAAUUCUUCAAAUGCCCACGAAGAGUACUUUUUCCGGCUAGUCUCUUCUGAGACUUCGAAAUUCCUUUUUCCACUCACUAUUUCCAGUAACACCAUACCAUAACUGUACACAUCCGAUUUGGAUGUUAUAGGAAGAUUGGCCAGCCACUCUGGAGCCAAGUAUAGUAACACCAUACCGUAACUGAACACAUCCGAUUUGGAUGUUAUAGGAAGAUUGGCCAGCCACUCUGGAGCCAGGUAUCCUCUAGUACCCCUCACAUGACUUGUCAAGGUUCUAUGCCUGUGGUCCUUUGGGUUAACGAGCUUGGCUAGGCCAAAAUCUGAUACUUUGGCAGUGUAGUUCUCAUCCAACAAUAUGUUCUCAGGCUUUAUGUCACA